rnacentral:rRNA from 1 species
UACGUAGGGGGCUAGCGUUGUCCGGAAUCAUUGGGCGUAAAGAGCGUGUAGGCGGUCCGGUAAGUCCGCUGUGAAAGUCGGGGGCUCAACCCUCGAAUGCCGGUGGAUACUGUCGGGCUAGAGUGCGGAAGAGGCGAGUGGAAUUCCUGGUGUAGCGGUGAAAUGCGCAGAUAUCAGGAGGAACACCAAUGGCGAAGGCAGCACUCUGGGACGUGACUGACGCUCAUGCACGAAAGCGUGGGGAGCAAACAGG